CCUACGGGAGGCAGCAGUGAGGAAUAUUGGUCAAUGGGCGGGAGCCUGAACCAGCCAAGCCGCGUGAGGGAAGAAGGUCUUCGGAUCGUAAAGCUCUGUUGUAAGAGAAAAACGGGUAUCAUAGGGAAUGAUGAUAUCGUGAUGGUAUCUUACCAGAAAGCCACGGCUAACUACGUGCCAGCAGCCGCGGUAAUACGUAGGUGGCAAGCGUUAUCUGGAAUGAUUGGGCGUAAAGGGUGCGUAGGCGGCAAAAUAAGUCUGAAGUAAAAGGCGUUGGCUCAACCAACGUAAGCUUUGGAAACUGUUAAGCGAGCGUGCAGGAGAGGUUAGUGGAAUUCCAUGUGUAGCGGUAAAAUGCGUAGAUAUAUGGAGGAACACCAGUGGCGAAGGCGGCUAACUGGCCUGUAACGGACGCUGAGGCACGAAAGCGUGGGGAGCAAAUAGGAUUAGAUACCCUAGUAGUC
rnacentral:rRNA from 1 species